UUGUCCAUAAUCUGCAGGUGACAAAAUGUCAGUGAGUGGCAAAACUGAAGCCCAUAGACCUCACGCCUCAGGAUGGGAAAACAGAGAAUAAGACCAAAUAGACUGUGUGGAAUGGUGUUUGUGUUGAGUUUUGGAUCUGGUGCUGACUGAGCAGGUGACUUAGAGAAAAGUUCAGAGGUCCGGAGACAUGGCUACGUGGAACUUGUCAUGGUGCCAAAGAUUAUUAGAAGAGUCUCACAUUACAGUGCUGCCUGGUCUGGAACCAAGCUUCAUGAAAAUUUCAUUACUGUGGUGGAGCCUGCGGUGCACUACCCAGAUGCCAUUUUAUGAUCAAGGCGCUCAUUGCAUCAACAGCAGAAGCCUCACAUCUGAGCAUCUCUUAGAGCAUUCAUUGGCCCCCUGCUGAAGGAAGCUAUCUCACCCUGCAACAAAGGCACACACUGGCUGAUGAUUGAUGGGUGAAGUGGAGAAUUGUGGAGGCUCGGUUUUCUUUGUCAAGCUCAAAACUGCUAUGAAGGUCCUGCCGAGCUGCUCAGCCCAAAUCCAGAGGUUCUGAGGCUUCCAUCGCUAAUGUAUUGAAUGAAGUUCACUUUCUUGUGCCUCUGAUCAGUUUCUCUUAC